rnacentral:lncRNA from 1 species
CAGAUGUACAGAGGAAAGGUAAUUCCCAGUUUCAGUCCUUUGAAGGGGAGAGCGUAAGCAGUACUUUCACGGUGAUUGCUACCUACUGUCUUUUCUGACCUCAUCUCUAGCCAGAGGCUUGGGAGGGCACAAAUGACUCCCAGACACAAAACUCUUGAAUUGCAAGAUGUGAGAUUAACACCCAAGACUGCCAUUUACCAAAUAACCCAUGAGGGGGAGCAGCUAUAGGCAUUAAUAUGUGGGGCACAAACCCAAAUAUUUGGAAUUUCAGCAGCCAGGACGCCUCCUGCUGUGGAGUGGACCACAUGACCCACUGUGACCCUUCCAACCUUACCCAUUCUGUGGUUCUGUGAUUCUGUGAAUGAACAUGGCAGUGCAAGUGGUAAUAUGGCAGGACCAGCAGCAGUGCUGAUAAAAUUGUUAGUGACUGAAAGAGUGAUCUUGCUGUCCUUGGAAACACUGCCCCUGACUUGGGGAAGCCAGAAAUUCUGUGUGCUGAUUGGACUCUUCUGUACCUCUCUUGCUCCUCAUGAUGUUCUCAGAUAAAAGUAAUUGAUUACCAAGGCAAGGCACUGAAGAACAAAGAAGUCCUCCUCUUAGUAAACUGUGGUGAGCACCAAUUUAGGCAGAAGUACAUCACUGGGGACUCUGGGACAGCUUCAUUUAGCCUGGACACAUCUGCCUGGAAUAGAACCUUGGCCUCUCUGGAGGUAAGUGAGGAAGGGUGUGUCUUGUGGCAAGGGUACGCGUGCGUGUCAGAGCCAUCUACUGUCCCACAGACAUCUUCCUUGUUCCUUCCUGAGGGACAGUAACUCAAACCUAAAACACCUCAGCAUGUCCUGGAUCUUGUCUCCCUCUGAGAGCUCAUUCUCCAGGUCCCAGUUGCUUUCCUCAUGAGCCCUCCGUGUUGUUCACAUCAUCGUACCAAGGUGAUUUGCAGCUGACUUGCUUAACUAGAGAAAUUAACUGGUUUGGUUUUUUUGUCUCACCAGGCAAGUGUCCUACAUCAAGAUUCGGAUAGAGAGCCUGGGACAGUUGAUUUAAGUUACCAGAGAGCCUCUUUUUUCAUACGUCCAUUCUACAGCACCAGCAGGAGCUUCCUCUCUAUCGCCCGUGUGCCAGAAACGAUGCCCUGUGGCAAAAAGCAGUCUGUCCAGGUGGACUUCAGAAUUUAUGAGGAAGACCUGGAACAUGGGCCCAAGCGUGUCAUAUUCUCCUACUUUGUCACAGGGAAAAGAGGGAUAGUCCACGCAGGUCAGCAGACUGUUUGGGCUGGGCCGCCACAGCG